rnacentral:rRNA from 1 species
CACGCCCUAAACGAUGUUUACUUGCUGUUGGGGGUAAAACCUAAGUAGCGAAGCUAACGCGAGAAGUAAACCGCCUGGGGAGUACNCAACGCGAAGAACCUUACCUGCUCUUGACAUGCCAGGAAGGCCUAAGAGAUUAGGCUGUGCCUUCGGGAACCUGGACACAGGUGC